rnacentral:misc_RNA from 1 species
GGACUUAAAUUAUACACCCUAAAGAAAGUGAGCUUCUAAAAGCAUUUGACAUUUGUGAAUCCAAUUCCGAUGAAAAGAUAGGCUUAUUUACAUCUUAGUUACAAAUCAAUCAGAAUGUGGAGAAAAUCUCAUAGAAGAGAAACAAACAUGAGCAUUAUAUACAAAUUAAUACAAAAAUCCAUGCUCAAAAUUUGCAUGGUAAUAAUAGGGAAAAAAUAGAUAAAAAUAAAAAACAUGUUUAGGGAAGAGUGAUACACCUUUGACAAAAUUACCCUAUAGGUCACAUGGUGAUGUCAACAACCUAGGUACAAUUCCUAGCGCUACACUCUGCAAACCUCUACUUGGUUCAAAUCCAAAUCAACUAACAUCCAAAAAUAAACAUUUCACAAAAUCAACAACUAAAGACUCAAAAUAGAUCAUCAAUCAUUAGUUGACUUUGUAGAGAUCUGCAAACCUUGCAAAAUAUAAAUUAGAAUUAAUUCAGUAUACCAAUUUGUUAUAUAUUAAAAUAACCUACACCUGUCAUUAAGUUCUUGUGGAGGUACUUGCAACUUUGGUUCUUUUACCCUAUAAAUGUAAAAAGCCUAGCGCUACACUGUGCAAACAUUUUUUUUAUUGAGAAAUGGAACCGUAUUACUCGAUUUAAAUCCGAAUAAACUAACAUCCAAAAAUAGAUCAUUAACAAAAUUAACAACUAAAAACUUAAAAUAGAUCAUUAAUUUUCAAUUGACUUUGUCUCUAUCUGCAUACCCUACAAAAUGUAAAUUAAAGUUAAUUGAGUUAAUUGACUUUGUCUCUAUCUACAAAAUGUAAAUACACCAGUUUGUCAUAUAUUAAUCCUGAUAAUGGUGCAAAGGAAAACUUUAUCCAUUAAACAUUGUGCUAUUAUGCUACACACAUGAUUCAAUUUUUGUCUAAAAUGACUGCAGUAGUGAAUAUAAUUCAAAACCCAGGUUCAAUUUCUGGCGCUACACUAUUCAAAACCUUUUUUUUAUUGAAAAAUCAAACAGUAUUACUCGGUUCAAAUUUGAAUCAACUAAUAUCCAAAAAUAAAUAUUCACAAAAU